rnacentral:lncRNA from 1 species
CCCUCCAAAACCUUACAAGAAAACCCGACCGACCCGGUGCUGCUUUGUCCCCGCCGUGCCCGCCCUGCCCGGCCCCGCCGCUCGCUCCCUGCCCGCGGCUCCGAGCUCCACCGGCGGCUCCGAGCCCAGGGCGGGCAGGGGAGCGCCCGCAGCCCCCCUCCCCGAGCCCACCUGCAGACCUGGCGAGGCGCAGCGGUCCCCCCGCUGCUGGCACACGAGCCGAAGUCCGGGCGAGCAGCGCUCCCGACCCGGCGAGACGCCGGCGCCUACAAACUCUACUUUGCCUCGCAGCCCCUCGGUGCCGGCGCGCAGCCCGGGGGCGGGCGGCUCCGUGCAGCGCCCCCCCUCCGCCACCUGCCCGGCGCCGCCCCGCAGCCUCCGGGGGCUGAGGGGAUCCGGGGGUGUGUGUGGGAUCCCGGCACGGCCCCACGGCAAGUUUGGGCACUUUCUCCGAGUGCCCCGGGGGGGCCGCCCCGCGCACCACUGACCUGCUCCGCGCAGCCUCGGCGCUGCUCUGCGCGGCUCGGCGGGGCGGGAGGAGGGCGCGGUGCGGUGCGGGANNNNNNNNNNGCUGCGCACCUGCGGCCGCCCCUCGGCUCCUCGGCCCCGGCUGCGGGCGGAGCCGUGCCGCCGCCGCCGCUCCGCAAGUUUGCGGCGUUCCGGGGCUGCCCUGCCUCCCCCGGCACCGCGCGGCCGCCGCAGGGAGGAGGAGGAGACGGCGGCGAGCAGGGCGCGGGCGGCUCCCGGUGGAAAGUUGCCGGCCGGGGGCUGGUCCCGAGCUGGGAGCCGGGGACCCCCCUCCCCGGGCUGCGUUGGGGUCGGGAGGCUCUCCUCUGCCGCGCUGGAGGCGCGGGCUGCCUGCCAGCCAUCUCCUCCGCCGGGCUGCCGGUGGCAGCGCGGCUGCAAAUGCGCCUGGUUGUGGGAGCCGCCGGGAAGGUGGGCAGCCCCCCGGCACAGCCCCCGGGGAGCGGCGGAGGCCGGGGCAGAGCUGCCGGCCGGUGCCCGCCAACAAAGGAGCCGAGCGGAUGCGCGGUGGCGGGGGCCAAGGUGCCUUGGCUGGGAGCGGGGAUGUGA